rnacentral:rRNA from 1 species
AUUGAACGCUGGCGGCAGGCCUAACACAUGCAAGUCGAAUGGUAACAGGAAACGGCUUGCUGUUUCGCUGACGAGUGGCGGACGGGUGAGUAAUGUCUGGGAAACUGCCUGAUGGAGGGGGAUAACUACUGGAAACGGUAGCUAAUACCGCAUAACGUCGCAAGACCAAAGAGGGGGACCUUCGGGCCUCUUGCCAUCAGAUGUGCCCAGAUGGGAUUAGCUAGUAGGUGGGGUAACGGCUCACCUAGGCGACGAUCCCUAGCUGGUCUGAGAGGAUGACCAGCCACACUGGAACUGAGACACGGUCCAGACUCCUACGGGAGGCAGCAGUGGGGAAUAUUGCACAAAGGGCGCAAGCCUGAUGCAGCCAUGCCGCGUGUAUGAAGAAGGCCUUCGGGUUGUAAAGUACUUUCAGCGGGGAGGAAGGGAGUAAAGUUAAUACCUUUGCUCAUUGACGUUACCCGCAGAAGAAGCACCGGCUAACUCCGUG